GCAGUUGAGCGCUGAGGUUGGUACUUGUACCGACUGGAUGAGCAGCGAACGGGUGAGUAACGCGUGGGGAAUCUGCCUUUGAGCGGGGGACAACAUUUGGAAACGAAUGCUAAUACCGCAUAACAACUUUAAACAUAAGUUUUAAGUUUGAAAGAUGCAAUUGCAUCACUCAAAGAUGAUCCCGCGUUGUAUUAGCUAGUUGGUGAGGUAAAGGCUCACCAAGGCGAUGAUACAUAGCCGACCUGAGAGGGUGAUCGGCCACAUUGGGACUGAGACACGGCCCAAACUCCUACGGGAGGCAGCAGUAGGGAAUCUUCGGCAAUGGACGAAAGUCUGACCGAGCAACGCCGCGUGAGUGAAGAAGGUUUUCGGAUCGUAAAACUCUGUUGGUAGAGAAGAACGUUGGUGAGAGUGGAAAGCUCAUCAAGUGACGGUAACUACCCAGAAAGGGACGGCUAACUACGUGCCAGCAGCCGCGGUAAUACGUAGGUCCCGAGCGUUGUCCGGAUUUAUUGGGCGUAAAGCGAGCGCAGGUGGUUUAUUAAGUCUGGUGUAAAAGGCAGUGGCUCAACCAUUGUAUGCAUUGGAAACUGGUAGACUUGAGUGCAGGAGAGGAGAGUGGAAUUCCAUGUGUAGCGGUGAAAUGCGUAGAUAUAUGGAGGAACACCGGUGGCGAAAGCGGCUCUCUGGCCUGUAACUGACACUGAGGCUCGAAAGCGUGGGGAGCAAACAGGAUUAGAUACCCUGGUAGUCCACGCCGUAAACGAUGAGUGCUAGAUGUAGGAGCUAUAAGUUCUCUGUAUCGCAGCUAACGCAAUAAGCACUUCCGCCUGGGGAGUACGACCGCAAGGUUGAAACUCAAAGGGAAUUUGA
rnacentral:rRNA from 1 species